rnacentral:rRNA from 2 species
UUUAUUGGAGAGUUUGAUCCUGGCUCAGGAUGAACGCUGGCGGCGUGCCUAAUACAUGCAAGUCGAGCGAAUGGAUUAAGAGCUUGCUCUUAUGAAGUUAGCGGCGGACGGGUGAGUAACACGUGGGUAACCUGCCCAUAAGACUGGGAUAACUCCGGGAAACCGGGGCUAAUACCGGAUAACAUUUUGAACCGCAUGGUUCGAAAUUGAAAGGCGG